GACGAACGCUGGCGGCGUGCCUAAUACAUGCAAGUCGAACGGUCUUUUCUAUGGAAGCUUGCUUCCACUGAAAAGAUAGUGGCGGACGGGUGAGUAACACGUGGGUAACCUGCCCAUAAGAGGGGGAUAACAUCCGGAAACGGGUGCUAAUACCGCAUAGUUUUCUUGAUCGCAUGAUUGAGAAAGGAAAGACGGCCUUUGUGCUGUCGCUUAUGGAUGGACCCGCGGCGUAUUAGUUAGUUGGUGAGGUAAUGGCUCACCAAGACGAUGAUACGUAGCCGACCUGAGAGGGUGAUCGGCCACAUUGGGACUGAGACACGGCCCAAACUCCUACGGGAGGCAGCAGUAGGGAAUCUUCCGCAAUGGACGAAAGUCUGACGGAGCAACGCCGCGUGAGUGAAGAAGGUUUUCGGAUCGUAAAACUCUGUU
rnacentral:rRNA from 1 species